rnacentral:rRNA from 1 species
UACGUAGGGGGCAAGCGUUGUCCGGAUUUAUUGGGCGUAAAGAGCGUGUGAGGCGGUCCGGUAAGUCCGCUGUGAAAGUCGGGGGCUCAACCCUCGAAUGCCGGUGGAUACUGUCGGGCUAGAGUACGGAAGAGGCGAGUGGAAUUCCUGGUGUAGCGGUGAAAUGCGCAGAUAUCAGGAGGAACACCUAUUGCGAAGGCAGCUCGCUGGGACGUAACUGACGCUGAGACGCGAAAGCGUGGGGAGCAAACAGG